rnacentral:rRNA from 1 species
AAGGAAUAUUGCUCAAUGGGAGAAAUCCUGAAGCAGCAACGCCGCAUGGAGGAUGAAGGGUCUAUGACUUGUAAACUCCUGUAAAGAAGGAAAAAAUUCCCAUUUGAUGGGAGAUGAUGGUACUUCUGGAGUAAGCCCCGGCUAACUACGUGCCAGCAGCCGCGGUAAUACGUAGGGGGCAAGCGUUGUCCGGAUUUACUGGGUGUAAAGGGUGCUCAGGCGGAUUUGUAAGUCAGAGGUGAAAUCUUACAGCUUAACUGUGAAACUGCCUUUGAUACUGCAAGCCUAGAGUAUGGAAGAGAGUGAUGGAAUAUCUGGUGUAGCAGUGAAAUGCGUAGAUAUCAGAUAGAACACCAAUGGCGAAGGCAGUCACUUGGUCCAUUACUGACGCUAAAGCACGAAAGCGUGGG